rnacentral:misc_RNA from 1 species
UCCGGUUUGGCACCGGCAGUCCCUCUAGAGUCCUCGGCUUUACCCAGGAGGCUCCAUCUCUGGAGUUGUCAGAGGCAUUCUAGCCCAGGUAAGGUUCUUCGCGUUGCGUCGAAUUAAACCACAUGCUCCACCGCUUGUGCGGGUCCCCGUCAAUUCCUUUGAGUUUCAGUCUUGCGACCGUACUCCCCAGGCGGAAUGCUUAAUGCGUUAGCGUCGGCACCCGGGGACUAUGUAACCCCAGACACCAAGCAUUCAUCGUUUAAGGCCAGGACUA